AAUGUUACAGUCGGCACCAUUUUGAAAGAAAUCAGGGAAAGACAAAUAGAUUAUUAUGGUGGAAGAUCAAGUCUUCAUAAAUUGUUAAAGAAGAUGGGAUUUUCAUGGACAACUGUUGAUGGACGAAAAGCUUUGAUAGAGAAUGAAAACAUAGUAUUGCAGCGAAUAGAUUUCUUGAGAAAGUAUAAAGAAGAAAAAGAAAGAGGUGCCAAUUUCAUAUUUGUUGAUGAAACAUGGAUUUUCCAGAGAGGCAAGGCAUUAAUUUAUUUGAAAAUUUGUUCUGUGGUCCAAUACAAAGUAUUUCAUUUCCAUUUCAUAUAUUUUUCAGGAACUGUAUCAAAGUCAUGGCAGGACAAGAGUCUACAAUCUGCGAAGAGACGUACUGUUGGAGAUGGUAAAAGGUUUAUUGUUGUUAAUGCUGGAGGGCGCACUGGCUUUGUGCCAGGAGCAGGAUUACUUUUUGUUUCAGGUCAGAAGACUGCAGACUACCAUGGCGAGAUGAAUGGGGAAACUUUCUUGAUGUGGUUUGAAGACAUGUUGGUGCAUCUUGAGGAACCCAGUGUCAUCAUAAUGGACAAUGCUUCAUAUCACAGCACCCAGGUUGAGAAAACACCUACAACGAACUGGACCAAGGAUGCACUGAUCGCGUGGCUGGAGAAGAAUGAGAUAAAACAUGAAAAUAAUUUGUUGAAAGUGGAGCUGCUGAGAAUAGCUAAACAAAACAAGCCCCGAAUACGAUGGGCGAGGUGUGUGGAUCACGUGGAGAAGUUAAUUCAAGCAGACUGGGAGAGAGAAGUCCACAUAGACAGCGGCACCAUUCCUCCACUCAUCAUCCACCUCGGCAAGGAUAGUUCAAGUGAAGACAGUGACAGCGAAGAAUUUGAGGUUACGACACAGCAAGUAGAUGGAGACAGUGAAGUACUGGCAGUUCCUCUUGAUGAUUUACCCGGGUGUUCUUAUUGAGGUCUGUAUGUAAUAAACACCUGGGCAACUGUAAGUAUUGGGGUUUGAAACAUUUUUUUUUUCUUUUAUGCAUUCCCAUUAAGUAUGUUGAUUACUGGAACUUUAUGUAUUAACUUUAUAUUACACAUAUUAUGAAAUUAAUAAUAAAUUUCAUUUCUGGAUUCGUAUAGGUGUAUGUGAAACAUUUUAUUUUGUUGUGUGUCUUCAUUUUUCAGUGAACUUACUUGGAAAACAAAAAGCGAGUCCCCAUCCAGGGCCACAAAUAAAUAAUGCAUAUAAGUGGUAUAGAAAUUACUGUCAAUUCUUUACCACAAUUUUACUGUUCAUAAAAUUAUGAUUUUGUCUAAUAAGUAUACUCAGGAAAAUGUAUACAACCAUAUUUUUAUUUGUGGCCUUAACCUGCAAAAUGGUAGGGGUUUAUUAAAUAAAAGAAGAAAAUUCAUUUUUAAAUGUUUUCAUCUGAAUUUGUUAAUUUUAUUAAACCUUCAAUCCUUAGUCUUUUCCAGAUUGCUUAGAUGGA